UGGGGAAUAUUGGGCAAUGGGCGAAAGCCUGACCCAGCAACGCCGCGUGAAGGAAGAAGGCCCUUGGGUUGUAAACUUCUUUGACACAGGAAGAAACAAAUGACGGUACUGUGAAAACAAGCCACGGCUAACUACGUGCCAGCAGCCGCGGUAAUACGUAGGUGGCGAGCGUUGUCCGGAUUUACUGGGUGUAAAGGGCGUGUAGGCGGGCGUAUAAGUUGGAUGUGAAAUCUACGGGCUUAACUCGUAGACUGCAUUCAAAACUGUAUGUCUUGAGUGAUGGAGAGGCAGGCGGAAUUCCCGGUGUAGCGGUGGAAUGCGUAGAUAUCGGGAGGAACACCAGUGGCGAAGGCGGCCUGCUGGACAUUAACUGACGCUGAGGCGCGAAAGCGUGGGGAGCAAACA
rnacentral:rRNA from 1 species